UGAUGACAAUUCUCCGGAAUCGCUGCGUCUCUGUGAUGAAAGCUUGCUCGAACCCUUUUCCAUCUGACGGCUGAGCUCUCGUCCUC
rnacentral:snoRNA from 12 species